rnacentral:lncRNA from 1 species
UGCCUUAUUGCAAUAUCGCUUUGUUGCUGUGGUCUGGAACCACACCCGCCGUAUCUCGAGGUACGCUUGUAGGGAAUGGGUGAUUUCAUUCUGGUCUCUGGGUUUCGGCUGCUUUUUCCUUUACAGCGAGAAUUAUUGCAGGGAGACAGGAUAGGGAAAGAUCAAAGUUCUCAGCUUCAGUCCCUGCUCACCCCAAAGAGGGCAGAAGUGGGGCUGGCCUUCCUGGUGGCCUUGUGACAGCGGGAGACCCUCGGUCCUGCUCCCCCAUGCUUCUCAUUGGAUUGAUUCCAUCACACUUUUAGGAGCUGGGGGCUGACGCUUGAGGGGUUGGAGGUGAGGGCGGUGCCUCUCCACGCACAAGUCAGGGGAGCCUGUGUCAUCCUGGUUCCCAUGGCAGGAUGGACCACUGUUUAUUCUGGCCGUCAAGGCCGUCCAGAGGCCCUAGGUGUUCCCGUGCAUUUGCUCACCCUCAGUCACGUGACCUUGGCAAGGCCACCCGCACCUUCAUUUUCACAUCUGCAAAAUGAGGAGUGGGGGUGAGGCUCGGAGGAUGUCUCUACUCCCUUCUGGCCCUGAAGUCAUGAUGCCGGCGGUCUGCAGGGGUGGGUUCCGUCCUCCCGUCUUCUGGGUCUCUCUUUCCCUUUUCUGCCUGUGCUUCUGUCGUCUUGGCACUUACUCUCCCUCCUGCUGGUCCACCCACCAGCCACCCACUUUUACUAAGCAGCCCCUCUGGACCGGCAUCAUGCAACGUCCUGGAGACACAGAGGAGGUUGAAACAGGGCGCCUGGCUUUGAGAGUUCGCAGUCAUGAGCGGGACAGAGACACGUGAACGGAUGAGUGCCGUGGUCCAGAAGGGCGCAGGCUGCUCUUAGUGGCAACAAGGAGGCCGGCAUCCUUGACAGGGAUGUCUCCGUGACAUCCGUCAGCGAGGACCGUGAUCUUCUGCGACAGCCUCGGGACAGGCCGGCCUUGAUGUGGGGGCGCCGUGCCGGUGAUGACCUCAAGCGGCCCCCUUCGGCCACAGGAAUCUGUGAUGUGGGGCCCUCAAUUGCCGGCUUUGCUGGAGAAGAGCGAGAGAGAAAGAAAGAAGGAAGAAAGAGGGGCCGCUCAGCCCUCCUCUGCAUUUAUGUUUGUGGUCCCAAACCUCCGUUUCCUGGGGCUGCAGGCUGUGUGGGUGGGAGGCGCGUGGUGGCUUGGCUGGCCCGGUCCUGCAGGCCGCCCCCGGGGCCGGGCUGUCGGUUGGCAGCACCCUCCCCACGCAGUGGUGGCAGCGGGCCCGGACAGACCUCCUCUCUGUCCCCGUUGUCAGCAUCCUGCGGCGAAGGGCAGAGUGGAGCCUGUGUGUCCGACGGCCCAGCCGCCGCUCAGAGCAAUCCUGAGUGUGCAGCGAUUCUGGGGGUGACGCUGGCAUUUGCCCCUCAGCCCCAUCCCCCACAAGGGAGAUGGUGGACAAGGCCGCUUUUCUAAUAAGCAGCCUCUGCUUGCCCGGUAGGAGAUGAAAGACUGUGUGCAAGAGUGGGUAAUUUGGGGUUUUCCUGAUGAAAGCAGCUGACAUUUGUUCGGACCUCAUGCACACUGCAACCCUGCCUUUCAUCUCUGCUAUCAAAGCUCAGCUCGGGUUUGGCCUGCCUCCGGGGCGGGCAGUGGCACCGGAAUUGAAUCGGGCCAAUGGUAAAGGAUAAAGGAAAUGGCGGGAUGACCCUCGCAGGCCACGGAUGGUUUAGUGGAGGCAGGUUCUGACUUUCCUGGUGGGACCGUGGAAAGAGCGUGCCCUUUGGAGUUGGGUAGGGCUGGCUGGAUGUGAAUGCCAGCUUCUCCACUUACGCACUGAGGGAACAUAGGGAGUCUGUCCUCUCUGAUCUGUGUCCCCAUUUGUCAGGGGAAAUGAGAUUACCACCGGUGCCAGUGGUCCUCACAAGUCAUCUUGAAGCCCGGGAGACUCAGGAGUGUUCCAUCGCCUUCUACCCUAAUUGAUGAAUUUGACCCAUUGAGCUGUAGGCAUUAGAGGACAGGAACUGGGAUUUGCAUUAUGCACCUGCUUCUCCACGUAGUGCCUGUGGUAGCACCUUCGCUGUGUGCAUUCCUGAUGUGAAGAGCAAAUGCUUAAGACUCCAUUCAUUCCUAGAAUCCCUGCUGCAGCCCCAUCUAACCACCUAUCAAUUAAGUUGAAUCCCCAGUUGUAGCAACUUGGCUACUUGUCUGUCCCAUCAGCCAUUGCUUACCUCCACUGAUGGGGCGCUCACUGCCCCCGAAAGAUGGUGUUGACAGUUCUAAGGAGGCCUAGGUGCUCGGUGCCCGCUCUCGGGGUUCUGAUCCUUGGGGCCCUCUGAUGAAACAAAACUCCCUCACAGAUGACAGCUUUCACGUUGAUGAAGGCAGGUGCCGUGUUCCUCCUGAGCCUUGUCCUCUGUGGGGUUCACCGUGUGCCCAGCUGGCUGGCACAGGUUUUACCCCUUCACCUCCCUGAGCCCGUGCAUCCCCAGCUCUUGAGCACUGUUUAAGGAUGAAGCUAAAUGACAUUGUUUAUGUCCAGCAUGCAGGACGGAGGCGCUGAAAGGUCCCUGAGUUCCUCUUUGAUGAUUAUUUUAAGAAAUAGAGGUGACGUUUACCUCAUAGGAGGGGGUCAGGUAGCAAAGCCAUUUAUUUCCUCUUUUAACUCUCUGGUCUGGAAAGUUCUUUAUUUGAUGACACUGUGACAGUUUGGGUUUCAGAAGGUGGCCUUUGGAGCCUGUGUACUUCUGCCUCCUUUUGCAAAAUUUUUCUGGAGUGGAGAGUGGGGUCUGCCCCCCUCCCCAAAUUGGUCACUGCUCAGGCUCCGUUGGAGGCCCUGGCACAGGGCAGGGGAAGGAACAGUAAACUGAGAGCCUGGAAAUCAGAUGCCUUAUCUCUGCUCCACCUGGAAGAGCUUGUGUUCAAGGUUUUCACCCUCUCUGAGCCUUACCUGUUUAAGGUAUGGACUGGCCUUUCCAAGCCCAGCAGUGUGGGGUCCUUGGGGGUCUCUAGAAAGGUCAGAAAAUGGAAAGAAAGCCCCUCAGGGCCUCACCUAUAAGCUUGCCAUCCCAUUUCCAGGUUUCCCAGACUUUCCUUCCGCACUGCCCUGCACGCCAGCAGUUUGGGAGUCUGAAUCUCAGGUCAGGCCCUACCCAUGAAGAAGCAUCUCUAGACAGGGUUCAAGCCAAACCCCUUGUCCUGAUACAUCUGUCCUUAACUCUGAACCCAGCUUCAUCUCUUAACCACCCCCCCACCAAGCAGUUCAUGGUCCAGCCACACAGAAGUUGAGGGGUCCUCCUUAUCCGAGUUCCUGCAGGCAGAUUGCACAGGGAAACAAAAGUCAUCACAACACGAAACUCUGUGCUCAUAAAGUUACUGCCCAAGCCCAGCCAACCCACAUCUGACGAUAAUCAGUCAUGUACUUAUUGCCAGACGCUGUAAACAUCGGACAGUCCAGGGCGAGACUAGCAGAAACUCCUUAACGGACUUCCAUUUGGCUUCCUUGCUGGAUUAGUUGGUGCUGCCUGUUGGCAUAGCAAACCGAAUGGGACCCCAGGCUCCCUGAAGGCUCCGGGCCGGGGGUGCUACUCACAAGCCCAAAUUCUGGAUUUGGAGCUUGGUUCUGCCCUGACCAGCUGUGCAACCUUGGUCAAGUUAAAUAACCUCUCUGUGCUUGUCUACUUUAUAUGUAAAAUCAGACUAACACUAGGAUCUACCUUCCAGGGUGAUUAUGGCAUUAAGUGAGAUAAUACAUGUAAAGGCUUAGAACAGUGUUUUUGGCACGGGGGUAAACACCCGUUAAAUGUUAGCUGUUGUUGGUACUGGUGUGCUCACAAGGCAUGUAACGCACCUCGAUUCAUGUCCCGGCCAAACGUGAGUUGUGUUGGUAAUUUACGUAUUGCAUAACUGAUGAGAAUUGAGCUGUUGCAUGAAAGCCCGGUUUAGUGUUUUGGAAGACACGGAUAAUGUCGAUUUGCUAAAAAGUUGUCACCAAAUCACUGAGAGGCAAAACAGCUGUAAAAAAUAGGAAGAAAAAAUUGUAAAACUCAAAGGAAGCUCUAUUCCAUAUGUUUUGCAGAUGAGUCACAUUUACACAACUGUAAAGAACUGGAAAUCAGAAAUUGUAGAAUCGUGAGGGUGUGUUUGGUAAGCAACACCAUUUGCAACUCUGGACCUGGAGUCAGAGAAAGACCUUACCUUUCGAUUGGCUAAAUUGCUGUGCAGCUGUGAUAAGAUAUUUACGUCUGUCCUGUUUACGUCUGCCCACUUGUUCAGUGACAUGGCCGUGGGAGAGUCGGGUAACCAGGCUUGUUCCAUCCAGGGCUGAUCAACCGCCAGAACUGACACGUCUUGUCUAGACUGCAGGGUUUCCCGAUGCAGAGGAAGGUGUGUGGGCAGGCUGCUGGAAUCAAGUGGACUUGCGCAGACCCUCCUGGGUGCCAGGCACUGAUCCAGUGCCUGAUAUACCAGGGUGACACAGGGAGUAGCCAGCAAAGUGGACGCAAGUCCACGCCCUCAGGGACCCUCCCAGAGGCAGGUGGGGGAUGGGGGGAAAAGCCACUGCAAACUGAAUUUAAGGGUAAAUAGCUGGUCCUGACCCCAGCCCUAUGCUCGAAGGGAAAGCGAAGCAGGAGGGGACUUGAGUCCUGCUCUGGGGGAGGCCUCGGACCCUGGCAGAAUCUGGACCCUCCAACAGUGAAGAGAAAGAAGCGAUGCUCUAGGCAAAUUUGAAGGGAGUGGUUGCAAAAAUCAGAAAAAUUGAGAGAGCUUUUGUGACCAUUAAUGGCGUCCUGGAAGUCCAUUUGCAGCAGAUCCUUCAAACAAUGCGGAGGGAAGGAAGUUUUCUGUUUUGUGGGCAAACAUGUGCUAAAACAGCUCCGGCAUUAGAUUCGUUCAUUCUUUUUAAUUGAUGUAUCAUUGAUUAGAUUUGUUCUUUUGGGGACCUGACACUCAGAGUUUAAAAUAACAGGUUUAGGAGUUCCCCGGUGGCCUCGCAGUUAAGGAUCCUGACAUGGGUUCAAUCCCUGGCCCAGGAAUUUCCACAUACCUCAGGCAUGGCCAAAAAAAAAGAGUGAAUUGUAUGGUGUGUGAAUUCUAACUCAAUAAGAGUUAUUAGAGAAAGUUUAAAUGG